rnacentral:lncRNA from 1 species
ACCUACACCACAGCUCACGGCAACGCCGGAUCGUUAACCCACUGAGCAAGGGCAGGGACCGAACCCGCAACCUCAUGGUUCCUAGUCGGAUUCGUUAACCACUGCGCCACGACGGGAACUCCUGACUAAAGUUUUCUAUAGAUCAAAAGGCAGGUGGAGGACCAGAGUGGGGGCCACUCUGGGAAGGCCUCGCAGGGUCCUGCUCGGUUACAAGAUGCAUAGUCAUCAUCUACUGGAUUUGCUCCACUUGAAUGCUACACAUAAUCCUUCUCUGGGAAUUUCUAGUCUCAUGAGUCCCAUUUCCCCAGAAAGGUGUUUCCCAGUCUCCUUUGUGGUCAGGCUCAGGCUGUGUGCCAUUUGUUCAGAGUGGCAAACUGCCAGCUGAAAAAAGGACUGUCGGAGUUCCCAUUGUGGCUCCGUGGAACCGAAUCUGACUAGCAUUCAGGAGUAUAGGUUCAAUCCCUGGCCUUGCUCAGUGGGUUAAGGAUCUGGCAUUGCUGUGGCUGUGGUGUAGGCCAGUGGCUACAGCUCUGAUUUGACCCCUAGCCUGGGAACCUCCAUAUGCUGUGGGUGUGGUCUUAAAAAUAAAAAAAUUAAAAUUAAAAAAUUAAAAAAGCACUGUCCUCUUCAGUCUCCUUUGCAGGCAGAGGUGUCAGAUGACACACGGGCUUAGGAUUUCUUGGAUGUUUUGCUUUUCUGACAGUUUCCUCCUAUUUGCGCCCCCUUGUUCUGCUUCUCUGGAACAUAGUGGUGGUGCUGGAGUUGUACUAGCCUGUGGAUGACCAGGACGCACAGAGAGGAGGACGAUGAUGUGAAGAGACAGAGAGCCACAGGGAGAACACAGAGGCGGAAAUUAGAGACAUGCAGCAGCAAACCAAGGAACACAAGAACUGAUGGCCUCACCAGAAACCAAGAGAAAGUAGGAAGUUGUACCCAGAGUCUCAGAAGGAGUGUGGCCCUGCUGACACCAUGAUUUUGGACUUCUAGCCUCCAGAACUGUGAGCAAAUACAUUUCUGUUAUUUAAGAUGCUAAAUUUGUGGUACUUUGUUACAGCAGCCUCAGGGUACUUAUACCCACCCUAAUGCAUUCACUUUCUCCUCUGGGUCUCCAGACUCUGCUUUGAUGCAAGAGCCUCUUAACCGGUCCCUCAGCUUCCAGUGUUACUUCCUUUCCAUUCCUGCUCCAUGAAACAGCUUGAAUGAGCUUUCUUUGUAUUUUGUAUUAAUUUUUAAAAAAAUUUUGGCCACGCCCAUAGUAUUUAGAACUUCCUGGGCCAGGGAUUGAACCUGAGCCAUGGCAGUGACAAUGCUGAAUCCCUACCUGCUAGGCUGCUAGGGAACUCCUAUUUAUUCACUUCCCCGUGCUAUACAGUAGGACCUUGUUGUUUAUCCAUUCUAUAUAUAAUAACUUACAUCUAACCCCGACCUCCCACUCCAGCCCUCCGCCAGCCCCCUCCUUCUUGACAACCACAAGUCUGUUCUUCAUGUCCACAAAUCUGUGUCUAUAUGAAUGAGCUUGCUAAAGCUCAAAUUACUGUCCUGUUUACACACGUUUCAAUGGCUUCCUGAUAUUCUAAAGAUAAAUUCUGAACUCCUUACCUGAUAGCAAAAGGCCGUAUGUGCCUCUCCAGCAUCAAUUAGUCUCGCGCUUUGCAGCUACUUUCCGUGCCUGCAAUUCCACCAUUGUUCCUACCCUGUUUGACCUCUCGGCUUUCAUUCUCAUUAGAGGUCUUUUCUCCUAAGAAGCCAUCCUCGACUCUCCUGAUAGCGGUAUCACCCUUGCUGCAUGCUCUCUGAAAGUCUGGUUCUCUCUCCAUCAGAGCACAGAUCCCAUUUGUUACACUGCCUGCCUGGUUGUCUGUCUGCCUUCCUAUUCUGUAAGCUCCUGGGAGAGGGACUGUCUCCUCCAGCACGAUAGCAUCAGUGACCAACUGUGACUGCCCCAUUUCAGAUGCUCACUAUAGUGGAUUGAUGGGAACUGCUUUCCCCUGAGCUCCAGAUUUUGCAAGAUUUUAACUACUAAACAAUUUAUUACUUAAGGUAACCUUGUGGGGUUUAUCAGGGGUAUCCAUGCAUGAUUUUCUUUCCUUUCCUGCUUCCUCCCUCCCUCCCUCUCUCUCUUGCUUUCUUUCUGUCUUUCUUCCUGGCCACCCCGUGGCAUACGGAGUUCCCAAGACAGGGAUCAGAUCUGAGCUGCAGUUGUGAGCUGUGUUCCAGAGACACUGCCGAUCCUGUUACACGACGCUCCUUUUUUUAAAAAAAAUUUGAAAAUUGUUUUAAGAACUUCCAAGCUGUUUUCUUUUUGAGGAAUAACCCCGAGCCUAACAAUCCUGGUUUUCAAAUCUAGUCCAUCUCCUUCCAUUUCACAGAUAAGGAAACCGAGGCCCAGAGAGGGCAGAUGACUUGUCUAAGGUUGAAGUGGGUUGGUAAGGUCCCCAGGCUAAAACCCAACUUUUCUGAAUUCCAUCCAGGAUUUUCUCUGCUCUUUCACGAUAGCUAAGCCAGAUGUAUAUUGAUGUAAUGCUUAACAACCAGCUCUCUCGGGGGAGAAAAGAGCAUUGAUUUGUAACAUUUGUCAGUUUCUGUGAUAGGCAGGCUUUCACCUUGGCUAAUUUCAAGCUACCUAUGUGAAGUCACUGACCAUGAGCCUUGGUUCCAAUAGACUCCAAAUUUCAUGCGCUCUGCUUUCUUAAAUGUCUGUAGUGUUGGAGGCUCCAGCCCCAGCCCCCAAAAGUGGCUAUUGCCAGAACAUGCUAAAUUCUGGCAAUGAAAUGAUGUAAAAGGCUAUAAAUAAAAAUAAAAGAUCCCAAAGGAAUGACCUGCUGAAAAUAUGACAAGAUGGAAAAACUCAUAUGAAUAGAAAGUGCUGUUCAUUAUCAUGUGUUAGAACAAACAGCCAGUGAUAAUGUCAGCAAAGAUGAGUUAAUGAAACAGAAACACAAGUUCCAAAACAGUCCCACCUCCUCUCAGUACCUUUUUCUUUCUUUCUUUCCUUUUUUUUUUUUGUCUUUUUAGACACCUGUGGCAUAUGGAAGUUCCCAGGCUGGGAGUCGAAUAGGAGCUGGAGCUGCCGGCCUACACCACAGCCACAGCAACACCGGAUCCAAGCUGUGUCUGCAACAUACACCACAGCUCACGGCAACAGAUUCUUAACCCACUGAGCGAGGCCAGGAAUCGAACCCAAAUCCUCAUGGAUACUAGUCGGGUACAUUACCACUGAGCUGCAAUGGGAACUCCCUCGAUUCAAUUUUUAAGUCUUUUCUAAUUUAUCUCAGGCAGAAAUAAUUCCUCCUUCCUUAGUAGUUACCAUAUGUUUAUAUUCAGUUGCUUCCUUUAUUUUUAGAAUUGCCUACAGAAUGUAUCCAAAGUCACUAGCUUGGCAAAGAGGCCUUUUACCCAAUGAAUUUUCAGAAGAGGAGGGGUGGAAUAGCAGGAAGAACACAGGCUAUGUUCUAUGCUGGGUUCAGCUCCUAUCCCACUGGUGAAUGCUCUGAAGCCUCGGGUCAGUGUCCUGACCUCAGUUUCGUCAUUCUUAGACCCUUCCUUGUAAGGGUGACACAGGAUGGAGCAACAUGAGAUGUGUCAGGUAGCUAACACCUGGCACAUUUCCUGGAGGCAAGAAAUACCUGUUCUCUCCUUUUACAGGUUAAACAUUUCCUGUACCCAUUGUCUACACAUUUUUUUGAGAACUUGUUUUCCUCUGAAUGUAUUAGUUCAUUUCUCAGUUUCCCCAGAAAUAUUGAGAAGGAGAAAAAUGCUCUCCACAGAUCGAAUCUCUGAUUCCAUUGUCCUUAAUAUCUAGUGAUUUUCAGAGUUGUGGCUCAGCGGGUAAAGAACCCGACUAGUAUUCAUGAGGAUGCAGGUUCGAUCCCUGGCCUUGCUGUGAGCUGUGGUGUAGGUUGCAGGGGCAGCUCGGAUCUGCAUUGCUAUGGCUGUGGUGUAGGCUGGCAGCUGCAGCCCUGAUUCAGCCCCUAGCCUGGGAACUUCCGUAUGCCACAGGUGCAGCCCUAAAAAAAAAAAAAAAAAAAUUUCUGGUGAUUUUUGCAGAGCAAGGACACAGGUAAGUUCUUGGACUCAGGGGUCAGAGUGGCAAGGCAGAGAUCCAGGAAAGUUGUUCUUGUUUGUUUGUUUUUCUUUUGGUUGUGCCCAUGGCAUGUGGAAGUUCCUGGGCCAGGGAUCCAACCCACGCUACAGCAGCCACUCACACCACUGCAGUGACAGUGCUGGAUCCUUGACCUGCUGAGCCAUAAGAGAACUCUCAGGAAAGCUGUUCUUAAAUGUGGACCAAAGUGCAGAAGUGCAGUAAUGAGGGGCCUUCUCACUGUUAAGCUCACCAAAUGAAGGCUCUGUGUGUCUCACUAGUGCUCCCAGGAAGGGCUGGGCACCUAAUUCACAUCUUGAAGCCCACUCCUCCAACUCUCCCAUCAACCCUGUGGGGGUAGAAGUAUAGCCAUUUUGCCAACGACAAAACUGAUGUUCCGAGAAGCCCAUGCUCCGUAAUGUCUCUUGGGUACCUAGUAUGUGCCAGGCACUGUUCUAGACACUGGAGAGAAAGCAGGGACAGACAGACAAAAAUCCUUGCCCUUGUGGAACUGAUAUUAACAAGGCAACAACGAAUGAGAUGAGUAAGUAAAAUAUAUCAAGUCAGGUGGUGCUAAGUGCCAGGAGAAAAAUAAAGCAGAGCAGGAGUUUAGGGCAGAGGAAGCUGCAAUGUGAUGUAAGGUUACAGGGAAAGGUCUCAGGGAGAAGGUGACCUCGAGGCAAACAGGGGGAGGAGGGAAGGAGUGGGCUAAAUGGAUAACCAGUUCAGAAUCUUCCCCGAGGUUACUGGGACGUGUCACCAGGCACUGGAAUGGCCAGGGUUCUCAUUUUAUCAAGCCUCUUUUUGAAGAAGCAGCGUUCCUCCAAGCAGGGCAAGAGUGUGUGUGUGUGUGUGUGUGUGUGUGUGUGUGUGUGUGUGUGUGUGUGUGUGUGUGUGUGUGUGUACGCGCUCGUGUGGGGAUCUGUCUGUCUCUGAAUGUGUUAUAUUUCCCUGAGCCGUUCCUGAUUCUGUGUCUCUGCCCCCCCCCCAACCCCCAACAGCUCCCAGGGCCUGAGGCCUCACAUUAUUGGUUUUCAUGGAAACUUGGCAACUUUCUCUCCUCCCCACCCUUUGCCCUGCACCGCAUUCCAAAGGCUUUAUUUGUGUGCCUUGGAGCCUGGCCAGGACUGGGCCCGGGACAGGUUGCCAUGGCGAGCUCCCACUCCUUCCAGAUAGAACUUCUCAAGGAUGUUGCCCUUGGGCCUGAAAUAGUUCAGGCCUGCUCUCAGCUGCAGCAGGAGGGAACUAAGUUAGGAAACCUCUUUCAAUCAGCCCAACUUGCACAAACACAAUCCGGGUGCGAAAGAUUUCUGGAGGGCGUGGAGGGCAUUCUCUGGGGCCCCCCAAAUUUGGGGUUGGGGAUGCUUUUCCUUGGGAUACUGGAAUAACUCCUUUCAGUUGUUGCAUUUGAGGUGUAAUAGAGCCUGCCUCUGAGAGCCCUGCAAACACAGACAGUUGUUGGGUUUUUUUGUUUGUUUGUUUUUUUUGGCUGCCCAGUGCACAUGGAGUUCUGAUCCCAAGCCAGGGAUCAGAUCCAAGUCACAUUUGUGACCUAAGCCACAGCUGUGGCAACGCUGGAUCCUUUAACCCAUUGGCACGCCAAGGGAUCGAACCUACCUCCUGGUGCUGCAGAGGCACUGCCAAUCCCGUUGCGCCACAGUGGGAACUCCCAGAAGUUUUUCAAAAGCUCAACUUGGGAGUUCUGGUCGUAGCUUAGCUGUAACGAACCUGACUAGUGGCCAUGAGGAUGUGGGCAGUGGGUUAAGGAUCCGGCGUUGCUGUGAGCUGUGGUGUAGGUCACAGAUGUGGCUUGGAUCUGGUGUUUCUGUGACUGUGGUAUACGCUGGAAGCUGCAGCUCAGCUUUGACUCCUGGUCUGGCAACUUCCAUAUGCCAUGGCUGCGGCCCU